GCACAAGCAGUGGAGUAUGUGGUUUAAUUCGAAGCAACGCGAAGAACCUUACCAGGUCUUGACAUCCGAUGCAUAGCACAGAGAUGUGUGAAAUCCUUCGGGACACCGAGACAGGUGGUGCAUGGUUGUCGUCAGCUCGUGUCAUGAGAUGUUGGGUUAAGUCCCGCAACGAGCGCAACCCUUAUUGCCAGUUACUACGUUAAGAGGACUCUGGCGAGACUGCCGUUGACAAAA
rnacentral:rRNA from 1 species